rnacentral:rRNA from 1 species
CCUACGGGAGGCAGCAGUGAGGAAUAUUGGUCAAUGGCCGGGAGGCUGAACCAGCCAAGUCGCGUGAGGGAAGACGGCCCUACGGGUUGUAAACCUCUUUUGUCAGGGAGCAAGGUGCAGGUCGGGACCUGCUGUGAGAGUACCUGAAGAAAAAGCAUCGGCUAACUCCGUUCCAGCAGCCGCGGUAAUACGGAGGAUGCGAGCGUUAUCGGGAUUUGUUGGGUUUAAAGGGUGCGCAGGGGGAGCCACAAGUCAGCGGGAAAAUCGCGGGGCUCGACCCCGCUGCGCCGUUGAAACUGUGUCCCUUGAGUGCGCGAAGGGAAGGUGGAAUGCGAGGUGUAGCGGUGAAAUGCAUAGAUAUCACGCAGAACUCCGAUCGCGAAGGCAGCCUACCGGCGCGCAACUGACGCUCAUGCACGAAAGCGUGGGGAUCGAACAGGAUUAGAUACCCGAGUAGUC